rnacentral:rRNA from 1 species
GCGGUAGAGGAGCGUCGUGUAAGCCGAUGAAGGUGGAUUGAGAAGUCUGCUGGAGGUAUCACGAGUGCGAAUGCUGACAUGAGUAACGACAAGGGGAGUGAAAAACUCCCCCGCCGGAAGACCAAGGGUUUCUGUUCGACGCUAAUCGGAGCAGAGUGAGUCGGCCCCUAAGGCGAGGCCGAAAGGCGUAGUCGAUGGGAAACGGGUCAAUAUUCCCGUACCUCACAUGGUUGCGAUGGGGGGACGAAGAAGGCUAGGUGAGCCAGGCGUUGGUAGUCCUGGUGAAAGCUUGUAGGCCAGUGAUUCAGGAAAAUCCGGAUCACUCUCUUCAAUGAGAAGGCCGAGAAGCGAGACGAAGGCACCACGGUGCUGAAGUCAUCGAUGCCACGCUUCCAGGAAAAGCCUCUAAGCUUCAGAUCAUGUGGGACCGUACCCCAAACCGACACAGGUGGUCAGGUAGAGAAUACCAAGGCGCUUGAGAGAACUCGGGUGAAGGAACUAGGCAAAAUGGUGCCGUAACUUCGGGAGAAGGCACGCCGGCGUAGUGUGAAGGGCCUUGCGCCUGGAGCAUGAACCGGUCGAAGAUACCAGGUGGCUGCAACUGUUUAUUAAAAACACAGCACUCUGCAAACGCGUAAGCGGACGUAUAGGGUGUGACGCCUGCCCGGUGCCGGAAGGUUAAUUGAUGGUGUUAGCCCUCGGGCGAAGCUCUUGAUCGAAGCCCCGGUAAACGGCGGCCGUAACUAUAACGGUCCUAAGGUAGCGAAAUUCCUUGUCGGGUAAGUUCCGACCUGCACGAAUGGCGUAAUGAUGGCCACGCUGUCUCCACCCGAGACUCAGUGAAAUUGAAAUCGCAGUGAAGAUGCUGUGUACCCGCGGCUAGACGGAAAGACCCCGUGAACCUUUACUAUAGCUUCACACUGGACGCUGAUGUUGCCUGUGUAGGAUAGCUGGGAGGCUUUGAACCCUGGACGCCAGUUCAGGUGGAGCCAACCUUGAAAUACCAGCCUGGCAUCAUUGGCGUUCUAACUCAGGUCCGUUAUCCGGAUCGAGGACAGUGUGUGGUGGGUAGUUUGACUGGGGCGGUCUCCUCCUAAAGAGUAACGGAGGAGCACGAAGGUACCCUCAGCACGGUCGGAAAUCGUGCAGUGAGUGCAAGAGCAUAAGGGUGCUUGACUGCGAGACAGACACGUCGAGCAGGUACGAAAGUAGGUUCUAGUGAUCCGGUGGUUCUGUAUGGAAGGGCCAUCGCUCAACGGAUAAAAGGUACUCCGGGGAUAACAGGCUGAUACCGCCCAAGAGUUCACAUCGACGGCGGUGUUUGGCACCUCGAUGUCGGCUCAUCACAUCCUGGGGCUGAAGUCGGUCCCAAGGGUAUGGCUGUUCGCCAUUUAAAGUGGUACGCGAGCUGGGUUUAGAACGUCGUGAGACAGUUCGGUCCCUAUCUGCCGUGGGCGUUGGACGUUUGAGAAGAGCUGCUCCUAGUACGAGAGGACCGGAGUGGACGCACCUCUGGUGUUCCGGUUGUCACGCCAGUGGCAUUGCCGGGUAGCUAUGUGCGGACAGGAUAACCGCUGAAAGCAUCUAAGCGGGAAGCCCCCUUCAAGAUGAGACGUCCCCGAGGCCUCGAGCCUCCUAAAGGGCCCAGCAAGACCAGCUGGUUGAUAGGCCGGGUGUGGAAGCGCUGCAAGGCGUUGAGCUAACCGGUACUAAUUGCCCGUGAGGCUUGACCAUAUAACCCCAAGGGGU